AAGUCGUAACAAGGUUUCCGUAGGUGAACCUGCGGAAGGAUCAUUACCUUUCUGGCUAUUUAAUAUGCUUGUCUGGGGGCUGCAGUUUCCUGCAGUCUCUGACUACAUCCGUGUUUUUUGCUGUACUUACAUGUUUCCUCGGCGGGCUUGCUUGCCGGUUGGACAAAACUAAAACAUCUUUUGCAAAUUGCAAUCAGCGUCUGAAUUAUAUAAUAAUUAUAA
rnacentral:misc_RNA from 1 species